rnacentral:lncRNA from 1 species
UUUAGAACCAAAAGUUUCAAGCACUACAACAAAUAUUGCACUUAAGAACACUUUAAACAAUAACUAGCGACGUUUCAAAGCAUUGGCAAAAAUAAUCCCGACGCUUGUAAGAGUGUCAAGCAAAGAGUCGUUAAAUAAAUAUAUCGGGAUAAAUAUAUCGAUGCUUUAAUAUAACGUCGGAUAAUUUUUAUCAGUAUUUGAUAAACAUAUGUUUAUUGACGGUGCUUAAUCAUAAUGUCAAUACAUAUCAAAUAUUGAAGAAGCUAAAAUAAAGAGUUUUCUAAAAAAUAUCGUCUAAAAUAUAUUUUAUUACAGUGAAGAGACCAAAAAAGGGGA